rnacentral:rRNA from 1 species
GCCUAAUACAUGCAAGUCGAGCGGAUCGAUGGGAGCUUGCUCCCUGAGAUCAGCGGCGGACGGGUGAGUAACACGUGGGUAACCUGCCUGUAAGACUGGGAUAACUCCGGGAAACCGGGGCUAAUACCGGAUAACACCUACCCCCGCAUGGGGGAAGGUUGAAAGGUGGCUUCGGCUAUCACUUACAGAUGGACCCGCGGCGCAUUAGCUAGUUGGUGAGGUAAUGGCUCACCAAGGCGACGAUGCGUAGCCGACCUGAGAGGGUGAUCGGCCACACUGGGACUGAGACACGGCCCAGACUCCUACGGGAGGCAGCAGUAGGGAAUCUUCCGCAAUGGACGAAAGUCUGACGGAGCAACGCCGCGUGAGUGAAGAAGGUUUUCGGAUCGUAAAACUCUGUUGUUAGGGAAGAACAAGUGCCGUUCGAAUAGGGCGGCGCCUUGACGGUACCUAACCAGAAAGCCACGGCUAACUACGUGCCAGCAGCCGCGGUAAUACGUAGGUGGCAAGCGUUGUCCGGAAUUAUUGGGCGUAAAGCGCGCGCAGGUGGUUUCUUAAGUCUGAUGUGAAAGCCCACGGCUCAACCGUGGAGGGUCAUUGGAAACUGGGGAACUUGAGUGCAGAAGAGGAAAGUGGAAUUCCAAGUGUAGCGGUGAAAUGCGUA